rnacentral:rRNA from 1 species
AUGCAGUCGAGCGAGAAGCCACCUUCGGGUGGUGAGUAAAGCGGCGCACGGGUGAGUAACGCGUGGGUUAUCUACCUCUAGGACAGGGAUAACACUGCGAAAGCGGUGCUAAUACCUGAUAAGCUAGUCAAUUAUUAAGUGGUUGGCUAGGAAAGGGUGGCCUCUCGGAGAAGCUACCGCCUAGGGAUGAGCCUGCGUCCCAUUAGCUAGUUGGUGGGGUAAUGGCCUACCAAGGCUACGAUGGGUAGCCGGCCUGAGAGGGUGACCGGCCACACUGGGACUGGAACACGGCCCAGACUCCUACGGGAGGCAGCAGUGGGGAAUAUUGGGCAAUGGGGGAAACCCUGACCCAGCAACGCCGCGUGAGGGAAGAAGGCCUUCGGGUCGUAAACCUUUGUCAGGAGGGAAGAACUCUUGGUGGUCGAACAGGCUGCCAAGCUGACGGUACCUCCAGAGGAAGCACCGGCUAACUCCGUGCCAGCAGCCGCGGUAAUACGGAGGGUGCGAGCGUUAUUCGGAAUCACUGGGCGUAAAGCGCGCGUAGGCGGCAUGGCAAGUCAGGUGUGAAAGGCCACGGCUUAACUGUGGGACUGCACUUGAGACUGCUGUGCUAGAGUUCGGUAGAGGGUAGUGGAAUUCCCGGUGUAGGGGUGAAAUCCGUAGAUAUCGGGAGGAACACCAGAGGCGAAGGCGACUACCUGGGCCGAUACUGACGCUGAGGUGCGAAAGCGUGGGGAGCAAACAGGAUUAGAUACCCUGGUAGUCCACGCUGUAAACGAU